UGCGCACAUUUUAUUUGGCUUAUUUGAACUUUUCGAUUUUUUAUUUCGUAAAUAAUAAUAAACAUUUAUAUUGUGAAAGAUGAAUCCAUCUGACGCCAAGCUGCUGUCCAAUUUAAAUAUUCUUGAGAUGGAACGCAAAAGAAUAAUAACAUAUCAGCAAAUCCUGCUAGAUCGCAUAACAAGAACGAAGAAUGAGAUAUAUCAAAGGAAUAUAAUGUUAUCUCCGAAAAAUAAGGUGGAAAAAGAGAACAGGAAGCCCCUAUUGGUUUUGGGUCCCAAACCAAAUUCCAGAGCUGUAACCAAAACUCGCGCAGCAGCAAAAGGCAAGAAGAAGAUUCCAGCAAACUUGCCUCUCAAUAGAUUUCAGCAAGCUCAACUGAUUGCUCAAAGGAUAAAGGAUAAAAAUUGGAUGAUGCCGCCGAUCCGACCAGAUCAGUGCAAAAUAUGCCGAGUCACUUUAAGGGAUCCUCAUGUCUGCAACAUUGAGAACUGUGUUUUUGGCUGCGCAUGUGGAUUUUUAGCCAAAAGUAUGAACGCUAUUAACGGGCACAGCGUGUCAUGCAGAAAAAGAAAUACAGAUUUGGCCAAAUACGAGGCUCAGUUGAACAAUCCUGAUUGUUUGGGACACCUAGUCAAGAGUGAAGAAAAAAAUGUCUCUUAAAAUGGAGUAUGAUUUAAUAUUUCAACAAAGAAGUGCUGAAAGUCCUCUUAGUAUAAAAUAAUAUUCUCUGCUCUCUUGUUGAAAUUAAUUUGUUAAUUUGACUCACAAUUACAUGUGGCAAAUUUCAACUAUAAAGUGCCUUCCAUAAUGUCAUUGAUCGGCUAUGAAGUUGUGUUUGGAUCCUGGUAGGAUAAUCAAAUGAAGAAUAUUUUUAAAAGGUUUU